UCUCUUAUCGUAUAAUGGAUGAAGUACACACACAUCAAAUGUCCGUGAGCAGCCUUAUGUUCUGUGUGGGAUCUGGGUUCGAAUCCCAGUGAGAGAG